rnacentral:rRNA from 1 species
AGAUUGAACGCUGGCGGCAUGCUUUACACAUGCAAGUCGAACGGUAACAGGCCGCAAGGUGCUGACGAGUGGCGAACGGGUGAGUAAUGCAUCGGAACGUGCCCAGUCGUGGGGGAUAACGCAGCGAAAGCUGUGCUAAUACCGCAUACGAUCUAUGGAUGAAAGCGGGGGACCGAAAGGCCUCGCGCGAUUGGAGCGGCCGAUGUCAGAUUAGCUAGUUGGUGGGGUAAAGGCCCACCAAGGCGACGAUCUGUAGCUGGUCUGAGAGGACGACCAGCCACACUGGAACUGAGACACGGUCCAGACUCCUACGGGAGGCAGCAGUGGGGAAUUUUGGACAAGUGGGCGCAAGCCUGAUCCAGCAAUGCCGGCGUGCGAGAAGAAGGCCUUCGGUUAGUAACGUGUCUUUUAGUACCGGAAACGUAACGGUCGUAGGCUAACGUACCGUCGGCGUUAAGUGUAACGGUAACCGUAA